UGCCUUGCCGUGGAUUGUUGUUUGUAUUUUGUAUUAUUUGUGCUUUUUAAGAAUAUUUUUUAAUUCGGAUACUUUUAUAAUAGCUUUAAUAGUAUUAUUAACAUAGUGCAUAAAAUGGUGUCCUGUUUUUAACGCAGUUGGAGUAGCAGAAACAAAUGUAGAUAAAAAAAUCUGCAGGAAUAACGUUUCAAUUAUGACAGAAGCUCAAAACAAAUGACUGUGAAUGAAAAGCCCUAUUAAAAGCUUUCCAGAAGAUCCUGCGAAGAAGACAAGAAAGUAUAGAUUAGAUUUGUUAAUAGAGGAGUAUGUUCAAAACACUUUUUAGAAAAAGAUAUUGACAGAACUUCACUUUCAUCUGUUCGUUUGAGAGACUGUGCUGUUCCAAUAGCUUAUGUCACACAGAAUCAGCUGAGAGAAGUGGUCUACAAAAAACCAGAAAGGAAACGGAAUAUGUGGCUACGAAAAGCAAAAGAAAGGUUUACAAAGCAAAUGUGACACAUUUUUUUAUAAUAUUUAGGAAUGUCAGCAAAUUACAUUAAAAAAUGUAUGUAAAGAUUUUUUGCAAUAAAAAUGUUUAUAUUUAUCAAGGAUGUAUUAUUUGGUAUGGC